rnacentral:rRNA from 1 species
UACCAGCACCCCGAGUGGUCGGGACGAUUAUUGGGCGUAAAGCGCGUGUAGGUGGCCAAGUAGGUCAGCUGUGAAAACUUGAGGCUCAACCUCAAGCUGUCGGUUGAAACCACUUGGCUAGAGUCCGGAAGAGGAGAGUGGAAUUCCUGGUGUAGCGGUGAAAUGCGCAGAUAUCAGGAAGAACACCAAUGGCGAAGGCAGCUCUCUGGGACGGUACUGACACUGAGACGCGAAAGCGUGGGGAGCGAACAGG